rnacentral:rRNA from 1 species
UACGUAGGGGCAAGCGUUGUCCGGAAUCAUUGGGCGUAAAGCGCGUGUAGGCGGUCCGGUAAGUCGGCUGUGAAAGUCCAGGGCUCAACCCUGGGAUGCCGGUCGAUACUGCCGGACUAGAGUUCGGAAGAGGCGAGUGGAAUUCCCGGUGUAGCGGUGAAAUGCGCAGAUAUCGGGAGGAACACCUAUGGCGAAGGCAGCUCGCUGGACGUUACUGACGCUGAGACGCGAAAGCGUGGGAGCAAACAGG